ACAAGCCUCUCCUACUCCGCGGCUGCAUUGCAGUGCUUCUUGGUGGCAGUGCAUGGGUGUGUGUUGAAUAAUGAAUAAAAGCCCAGGGAUUUGGAGUGUUGAAGUAAUUAGAGAUGGAUCUUUACCAAGGAAGAGCCGCCAGAGGAGAGCAGACACAGUUUUGACCCUUGCCUGUCCUGACUCUGAGCCCACCUGUAACGGCUCUCGUUGGUAGAAGGAAUACUGGACCAAAGCGCAGCGUGGAAAGUGUUCAUGAUUUUUAUUUUCAAAAAACACUCAAACAAAAAUAACAAACUUGAAACCGAAAGCACACAGUUUUGUCAGGUACAGACACUAAACAGAAAACAAGAUCCUACAAAACCCAAAAGGAAAAUGACAAUUUAUAUGUGAUCCCCAAUCAGAGACAACGAUAGACAGCUGCCUCUGAUUGGGAACCACACACGGCCAAACACAAAGAAAUAGAAAACAUAGACUUUCCCAUCCGAGUCACACCCUGACCUAACCAAACAUAGAGAAUAAUAAGGAUCUCUAAGGUCAGGGCGUGACACCACCUGCCUGACCGCUCUGCCUGCCCCUGACCAUGAGCCUGCCUGCUGACCUGUACCUUUGCCCCACCUCUGGAUUUGUCACGCCCUGAUCUGUUCCACCUGUCCCUGUGAUUGUCUCUACCUUCUCCAGGUGUCCCUGUGUUUCCUGUCUCUCUGUGCCAGUUCAUCUUGUAUGUUUAGUCAAGUCAACUAGUGUGUUUUUUCCCAGUACUCCUUUUUCUAUUGUCUUUUGCUAGUCUUCUCGGUUUUGACCACUGCCUGACUCUGGACUACUUUCCCGCCUGCCUGAUCAUCCUGCCUGCCCUGACCUUGAAUCUGCCUGCCCUUCGGUACUUAUUGGACUCUGAACUGGUUUUGACCUUUUGCCUGUACACGACCAUUCUCGUGCCUACCCCUUUUUGGAUUAAUAAACAUUGUAAGACUCCAA